rnacentral:rRNA from 1 species
CUCAUAGAGGUCAGCCUGCCAGUGACCAAGUUAAACGGCCGCGGUACCCUAACCGUGCAAAGGUAGCGCAAUCACUUGUUCUUUAAAUGAGGACUAGUAUGAACGGCAUCACGAGGGUUAUGCUGUCUCCCCACUCUAUUCAGUGAAACUGAUCUCCCCGUGAAGAAGCGGGGAUAAAAAUAUAAGACGAGAAGACCCCAUGGAGCUUUAAACUCAGUAUCAACUGCUUUACAAAUUAACCUAACAUUUAUGCAACUCUGAUUACUAGUUUUCGGUUGGGGUGACCACGGAGUAUAAAACAACCUCCACGACGAAAGGAAGUAACAACCUAAAUCAAGAGUUACAACUCUAAAUAUCAACAAAUUGACUAAAUUGAUCCAAUAAAUUGAUCAACGAACCAAGUUACCCUGGGGAUAACAGCGCAAUCCAUUUCAAGAGCUCAUAUCGACAAAUGGGUUUACGACCUCGAUGUUGGAUCAGGGUACCCCAGUGGCGCAGCCGCUACUAACGGUUCGUUUGUUCAACGAUUAAAACCCUACGUGAUCUGAGUCCAGACCGGA